rnacentral:lncRNA from 1 species
AUUUGAGCUUUUACUUUUCCGGACCUAAAACCACGGCAUUUUAUCUUACGGCUAAAUCCUCUUUUUCUUUUCCGAUCAGUUCCUCGGCCAACGCCAGUUCUAGGGCUGAGCCGCCCCUUCUUUUUUCCGAUAGCUUGCUGAAACUUCUGCUGGCGAAGAGAUGAGUUGCGCUACCAUAAACGCCUGCAAUUUCAAUGCUUCCUUUCCAUCACUCACGGCUUCCAAAAGGAUUUUAAAACUGACAACAUUAUCUUCAACUUUUGUGGGUAUAAAACUCCCGAAAAAUGCAAAAGUAGGUGUAUCCAGACAGCAGCAGCAGUGCACAACUGUAUGCUUAUUUGGUGGUGGAAAGGGGAAAUCAAGCAAUGACAAUGAGGUGACAAUCUUUUGCAACAUCAUUCAUUCUGUGUUUAUGUGUGUCAAACAAUUUUGAUAUCUUUAGUCG